UGACAUGGAUCAACGUCAACGCUGAAUAGGCAUCUAACAAAGACUCUUUGAUUUUCUUUUGUUUCAUUUCAGAAUAUGUCAUCACUAAUUUUUAUAUUCAAACCCAAGGUGACAUUGAUCACUGCCAAUGCCGAAUCUGCAUCCGGAGAUAUGCAGUUCUAAAAGCGACGAAACAAAGGCCCUUUGUUUCAUUUUAAAAUAUGUCAUCACUUAUUUUACUAUAAAUACGUCAUGCAUGGCGAAAUGAGUUAGUUGCAUCCGUUGAAAGUGAUACCAGUGACAAGUGCACCGAUUUCUAUUUGAAAAUGGAUUUACAAAAGUUGAAUGCAAGUUCGAUUGUGAAGAGAAAGCCAAGUAUCAAAGUAGCAGAUUUGCCUGUGGAGAUGCCGCAGAAGAUAUUCACUGCCAAAAUCGUGAAAGGAAAAUUUGGUGAGGCGGUCUUGUUGGAUUUGGGAGAUAAAGUUUCAUUUCUACCCCACCGAGUGACGGAGGCGUAUCGUCCUCACUUGGAAGAAUUUUCAUUAGGAAAAUACGCUAUUGUGUUCAAAGGGUUAAUGGACAUUGGGAAACCGAAUCUUGUCGUUUCAUUUGAGAUUGUACAAAAUUAAGAAUAAUACAUCAACGUGUGCAGUAUCAGUCAGAGUCAUCUCAACAACAACAUUUAGAACCGUCGUAGCAACCUUUCCAGAACGAGUUUAAAUCUCAGCAGUUUCCAUUUUUUUCAGUCUAUAGUUGCACAUUAUGAGGCUAUAAUUCGUCGAUAUUCAGGGAUUUGUUGGACAGACUGCGUCUAUUCAAUAUAUACACAACCGUAGUGAAUUUGGAAGACUUUGAAGAUUCAUGGUGGUGUAUUCAAAAAUUCAAGAAAA